UACGGAAGGGGCUAGCGUUGUUCGGAAUUACUGGGCGUAAAGCGCACGUAGGCGGCUUUGUAAGUUAGAGGUGAAAGCCCGGGGCUCAACUCCGGAAUUGCCUUUAAGACUGCAUCGCUAGAAUUGUGGAGAGGUAAGUGGAAUUCCGAGUGUAGAGGUGAAAUUCGUAGAUAUUCGGAAGAACACCAGUGGCGAAGGCGACUUACUGGACACAUAUUGACGCUGAGGUGCGAAAGCGUGGGGAGCAAACAGG
rnacentral:rRNA from 1 species